rnacentral:rRNA from 1 species
AACGAACGCUGGCGGCAUGCCUAACACAUGCAAGUCGAACGAGACCUUCGGGUCUAGUGGCGCACGGGUGCGUAACGCGUGGGAACCUGCCCUUAGGUUCGGAAUAACUCCCCGAAAGGGGUGCUAAUACCGGAUAAUGUCUUCGGACCAAAGAUUUAUCGCCUUUGGAUGGGCCCGCGUUGGAUUAGCUAGUUGGUAGGGUAAAAGCCUACCAAGGCGACGAUCCAUAGCUGGUCUGAGAGGAUGAUCAGCCACACUGGGACUGAGACACGGCCCAGACUCCUGCGGGAGGCAGCAGUGGGGAAUAUUGGACAAUGGGCGAAAGCCUGAUCCAGCAAUGCCGCGUGAGUGAUGAAGGCCUUAGGAUUGUAAAGCUCUUUUACCCGGGAUGAUAAUGACAGUACCGGGAGAAUAAGCUCCGGCUAACUCCGUG